UACAGAGGGGGCAAGCGUUGUUCGGAAUUACUGGGCGUAAAGGGCGCGUAGGCGGCCUUCUAAGUCGAACGUGAAAUCCCCGGGCUCAACCCGGGAACUGCGUCCGAUACUGGAAGGCUUGAAUCCGGGAGAGGGAUGCGGAAUUCCAGGUGUAGCGGUGAAAUGCGUAGAUAUCUGGAAGGAACACCGGUGGCGAAGGCGGCAUCCUGGACCGGUAUUGACGCUGAGGCGCGAAAGCCAGGGGAGCAAAGCGGG
rnacentral:rRNA from 1 species